AUUGAACGCUGGCGGCAGGCCUAACACAUGCAAGUCGAGCGGCAGCGGGAAAGUAGCUUGCUACUUUUGCCGGCGAGCGGCGGACGGGUGAGUAAUGCCUGGGAAAUUGCCCAGUCGAGGGGGAUAACAGUUGGAAACGACUGCUAAUACCGCAUACGCACUACGGGGGACAGCAGGGGACCUUCGGGCCUUGCGCGAUCGGAUAUGCCCAGGUGGGAUUAGCUAGUUGGUGAGGUAAUGGCUCACCAAGGCGACGAUCCCUAGCUGGUCUGAGAGGAUGAUCAGCCAAACUGGAACGGAGACACGGUCCAGACUCCUACGGGAGGCAGCAGUGGGGAAUAUUGCACAAUGGGGGAAACCCUGAUGCAGCCAUGCCGCGUGUGUGAAGAAGGCCUUCGGGUUGUAAAGCACUUUCAGCGAGGAGGAAAGGUUGUUGGCUAAUAUCCAACAGCUGUGACGUUACUCGCAGAAGAAGCACCGGCUAACUCCGUGCCAGCCGCCGCAGUAAAAC
rnacentral:rRNA from 1 species